GAAGAAGUGACUGAGUGGCUAAAGGUGGCAGACUGUAAAUCUGUUGGAUGUUUCCUACAUAGGUUCGAAUCCUAUCUUCUUUA
rnacentral:tRNA from 1 species